rnacentral:rRNA from 1 species
CCCUUAGAUGUCCCGGGCCGCACGCGUGCUACACUGAGUGGAUCAGCGGGUCAGGUUGCGCGAAAGUGUUUCCUAAUCUUUAAAUCCGCUCGUGAUGGGGAUUGACGGUUGCAAUUUUCCGUCAUGAACGAGGAAUACCUUGUAAGCGCGGGUCAUCAUCCCGCGCUGAAUACGUCCCUGCCCUUUGUACACACCGCCCGUCGCUCCUACCGAUUGAGUGGUCCGGUGAGGCUUUGGGAUCUGAGCGGAAAGAGCGUUUCGCUGUUUCUGCCCGGAAAACUCAGUCGAACCUUAUCAUUUAGAGGAAGGAGAAGUCGUAACA